AAGAGCCAAUUAGUUCACUGACGUCAGCCUUCAUUGACAAGAGGUGAAGCUUCAGAGCUUUGGGACACACAGGCUAUGAGGACUUCAGAGAUUUUAAAAUUAUAACUGAGCCCUAUAAAAGCUGGUGAACCAAGAGUGAGAAAAGAGGAGGGCUCUGGACAGAGUCCACCCAUGGGAUGCAAGAUAUGAACAAUGGUCCAGGAAAGAAAACUGAGUAGGAAUGUCAACCAGAUAGGUAGAAGAACUAUCUAUGUGGCCUAACAAAGAACAAUGCCGUAAAAACCCAGAAGGAAACGGCAACUUCUCCAGCAUCUGUGCCAAGAAAACCCCAGUGAUGGUCCAUGGGUCAAGUCAGAGGCGACUCAGCGACUAACAACAUCUGGAGCAACGGGCGCAGUGCUAGGCCUGGAGCCAGGAGGACCCGACUUCAAAUACUGC